rnacentral:misc_RNA from 1 species
UCUACUCGCAGGAAGGCGCACGCGUUCAUCAGCUUCUAUCGGCACUCCCCCACCUGCCUGCCAACACGUUCGCCACAUCAUCCCUUGAUUGACUCACUCCUCUGUAUUCUUCAUAUCUGUUUCCUGCUCCGGUGGAUGCGAAAUGAGGACUCAGCGGCUCUACUCUCAACUUGUAACGGCGCUUCGCUCUUCUUGUGUGCGCGGCAGCGCUGCGGCCGCUGCCGCAGCGGUUUGCACAGCCUUACGACACGCCAGCGCUGAAGCUGUCCUAGCGCAGCAGGAGCAUGCUAAUGUCCACGUCGACAGCGACGAUGCACCACCGGCAGCCCAUCAGGAGCAUGUACAGGAGGCUGGUGAUAAAGAGCCGCACCAGGCCUCACUGGUGUCUCAACUGCUGCCGUAUGUGUACGGUUCCAGCGGUGUCGCAGGCGACGCGCACCUUUCUCUGCCCAUCGACCACGUCGCGUUGCGACGCAUCAAGAACAUCAUGAAUGUGAAGAGCAAGCACGAUUUGGCCAAGGCGCUUGACAAUGUCCACCUGCUCGAGACGCCGGAGGACUGCACCCGCUACGUGAACCUGACCGCGUCCUACAUUCGACAGCAAGCACGGAUGGAGGAGCAGGCGCAGUCCCCAUCUCUUGCGACGCGUCAGCGUGCAGCGUACUUGCAGCGACAGCUGCGAGGUGUUCGACUCAGCGGGCUGGAGAAGAGCGCGCUGCUUAGGAAGGCCUGCACCCUCGUUGAGGAACGACGAGUGCCGCUCGUGGUCGCGAGUCGGCUGCUGCGCUUCCGCUGGCCUGGUGACCUCGCCACCGUCGCUUGCGGCGUCCGUCAGUCCUACGUGAUGGAUUUGAUCCGCAGUUGGGCCACAGAGGCGCUGCAGCAAAAUGAGCUCGAGCCGCGGGACGCGCGCGCGCUCUUGAACAACUGUGCCUUCGCCUUGAAGUCCGCUGUGCGCCGACACGCGAAAGGCCAGGCGGCAGAGCCACUUAGCGACAUCUCAUCCUUCAUCGGGGCACUUGUGAUGAGGGCCAGCCAAGACGCACACUCGCCCGCGAAGGCGGAGGGGUUGAUUGGCCUCAUGUGGUCGGUACACUUGACGGGGUGUCCGGCGCCAGCGAGCUUCUGGGACACGAUGGUGCAGCGUGUGGUGAGCAUGAAUGAGGCGUUGGAGGGGGAGCUCGCAAGCAGCGCGGACGCCGCAGCAUCAGAGGACGGCACGCCCACCUCUGCCCGCGCCAUUUCCACCUCUCCUGCAUCGUCGCCGUCGUCCGCAAAAGUGCCGCGCGCGGGCCACUUCUUCAGCACUCUCUCGACCCGCCAGCUCUACCGCUUCCUCACGGUGCUGAAGCUGGCGAAGUGGGAUGGCAACCCAACCGUUCUGCAUCGGCUGGCAGACCAGACGCUGCGUAACGUCGCCUUCGAGUUGGAAGCAGCGAACUUCGACCGGCAUGUGAGCAGCGACAGUGAAUGUAAGAGGGCGGUGGCGGCGGCGGCGAAGCCGAGUAUCAAGCCGUUUUCUGUUAUGAACGCUGCAGAGGUACAUCUAGGCACGGCACAGCAAAAGCCCGUGCGGUUACCCAAGUCAGUGGUGGCGCGCCGCAUCCGGCAGGUGGCAGACCUGCAUCCGGACGAGUUCCUUGAGCUGCUUCACCUUGCCGGGGAUCUGGGGGUUCCAUUCAGCAUCUCUGCGACCCGCAUGGUGGACGAGCUCCUCAUUCCACUUGUGCCGCACCUCAAUGCUAAGCAGCUCAUUGUUCUCCUCCAGGUCGUGCGUCACACGCGAAGCCAGUCUUCGACGCUUCUGCAGGUGGUGAUGGACCGCCUCGUCGAGCGUGGCGCCGCCGGCGCUUACGCGCUUCCUCUAGCAAAGGCGGCUGUGAAGGCUGCGGCGAAGGCGCCGGCCGUAUUCCAGAGCUUGCGCACGGACGACUUUGUUGAACUCUUCACGACCACCUGCGAGGCACAGCAUACACUCGUUCGGGCCGCGGAAGUGGCCGCGAUGGGAGACAUCCUCUACGCCCUCAGCAGGCGCUACGAAGAGACCUCGCUGCAAGGCCAGCGCAUUCGCGAAGUGAUGAAUCUUCUCUGCGCACAGGUGGACCGGCUCGUUCAGCUGCAAGUGGCUUCCAGCUCGAUAGCAGACCGGCUGCUGGAGUGUACCGUUCUGCUGCGCAUGCGCGCCAAUAAGGUGCAGUACCCAGCAGUGCAGGAGCUCCUCGCCUCCAGGGCAGUGGCAGUAGAUCGAGAGGAGCGGUGCCGCGAGGCCCGCCAAGAGUGGGCCCUGAAGUGGGCCGAGACGCUCGCAGCAGGAGCGGUGGAAGGAGCGAUAUCUUCUCCGCGCCGCGAAUCGCUGAAGUGGGAAGGGCUCUCCGAAGGGAACCUCCCGCAGGUGGCGAAGGCUGCCCUUUCCGUGUAUGGUGAAUUCGUGUACAUAUUCGAGCGCAUGGUCACCGUGAAGGCGGUACUGACGGCGAAGGACUUUGAGUUGUUUGCAUUCAGCAUCAAGAAGGCGGGGCUCUACAGCAUCUUGCAAGGAGCCCAGCUCUUCCAGCAGGGGCACUUCGAGGCCGACGUUCCGUACACAACGCCUGCCUCCCAAGCAGCCGCGCAGGGGCUUUCGAGGACUAUGCCGGCGUGGAUGGAGAAGACGGUCACAAACGCUGUGCUCACCAAGCUGUCCAACAGCCGCAUCUCUUCGUCGGACACGGACGACGACUUUCUGAAGGUGCUGGGCCACGUGCACUGCGAUGCGGCCAAGGUGGACGCCGUGAUUGAGAUGAUGGCCAGGUCACCGCUGCGCAGACUGCAGCGCCAGAGACCAGUUUGGCUGUACAUUGCCGAGCUGGCGCGUCGCUUCGGCUCCGAGGAGACGAAGGAGGCAAUGUCGGCGUACUUGAAGAAGGCGCUGUACUGAGUGCCACGUGAGGGUCUAGGUAGCGAAUCUGUGGAGGGCGGCUGGAGGGGGACGGCUUCGGGGGCAUCCCCUCUCUCUCGCGCGCGCGCGUGCAUGGCGUACUACGUGCCGGCGGACAUGCAAGACGAUCAUGAGUGACGCGUUUGUGUUCUUGAAGGGUUUGUGGUGUGUGCGCCUUCGGAUGUGGAGGGCGAGUGGCUGCCCGCGAUGCUGAUUUUGUCGUUGAAGAUGUCGGAGCUCUGUCACACAAACGCGCCUGGGAAUGCGCUCUACAAGACAAGCGUGGAGUGAAGUCCCGAGACGUUUGUAGCGCUGGUUACUCUCACAG